rnacentral:rRNA from 1 species
AUAGCGUAUAUUAAAGUUGUUGCAGUUAAAAAGCUCGUAGUUGAACUUCGAACGUGGCUGGGCGGUCCGCCUCACGGUGUGUACUGUCUGGCUGUGUUCUCUUUCUUGGUGAGCCGGCAUGCCCUUAAUUGGGUGUGUUGGGGAACCAGGACGUUUACCUUGAGAAAAUUAGAGUGUUCAAAGCAGGCCUAUGCCCGAAUACAUUAGCAUGGAAUAAUAAAAUAGGACGUGCGGUUCUAUUUUGUUGGUUUCUAGAGUCGCCGUAAUGAUUAAUAGGGAUAGUUGGGGGCAUUAGUAUUCAGUUGCUAGAGGUGAAAUUCUUGGAUUUACUGAAGACUAACUAUUG